rnacentral:rRNA from 1 species
UACGUAGGGUGCGAGCGUUUAAUCGGAAUUACUGGGCGUAAAGCGUGCGCAGGCGGUGAGCUGUGUCCGAUGUGAAAGCCCCGGGCUUAACCUGGGAAUGGCAUUGGAAACUGGCUCGCUGGAGUGUGGCAGAGGGGGGUGGAAUUCCGGCGUGUAGCAGUGAAAUGGCGUAGAGAGUGACGGAGGAACACCGAUGGCGAAGGCAGCCCCCUGGGCUAACACUGACGCUCAGGCACGGAAAGCGUGGGGAGCAAACAGG